AUGGCGGCGAGGAGAGGCAGUCCGGGCCCGCUGGCCAACGCAUUGGAAACGAAAGAAUCGGGAGACCAGGGGUCGGUUCCUAACAAGAGGAUCAAAAUUGAGGCGGAGGUGAUGGAGUUGGUGGGCGGGAGCACCACUGACGGCGAGGAGAAGCAGCAGAGGAAGACGGCGGCGGCGGCGGUGGCAGGAGAUGGUUCCAAUGCCUUACCUGCCGCACCCACCACCAUGACCCGACCGCUCCCUCCUAGCACUAGACGCAGGUGGAUCUCCAAGCCUGCUGCAAGAGAUCCUCGUGACAAUCUUCCUACGGUGGUGGAGCCCGAGGACCCGGAAACGGCCGAGAGUGUGGCCAGCUCAAGAGACAAGGCGCUGGUCCGGGAUGCGGCACGCUCAACCGUUAGCGUCUCCUCCAUUGCGCUUGAUGGGAAGGUCAUUGACCAACAAACUAGAAUUGUCAUCGGCUGGAAAGAGACCAAGAAGUGCGCAAGGAUAUUGACUAGCUCUGAUAUUGUUGAUGGACUUGGUCCCAACAUUAAGCUACACAUUGGCUUGCCAAAUAGGACCAUCUUAGAGGGGCAACUUUUGUUCUUCAAUAAGUAUUAUGAUAUUGCUUUAUUGGAGAUCUCGUCAGAGUCAGACUUACCUUUGCAGCUCCCUUCUUUUGGAUCUAAUCCAAACUACGGUCAGGAGGUUUUCGUUUUGGCUAGGGGCAAAGAUUCUAAUCUGAUGGCCAGGCAUGGGAGGGUCCUGUGGUUCGAAGAUCCAAAAUAUUUAAACCGCAACUACCUCAUGUUGCUUAGCUGCAAUACUCCUAAUUAUGGCACUGGAGGACCAGUGAUUGAUCAUGAUGGCAGCAGUGUCGUUGGGAUGGCAUUUGAUAAUGGUGGUCCAAAUUCCAAAUUCUAGUAUUCUUGCCAUCUCCACCAUCCUCACAUGCAUUGAAAUGUGGAUGAAGUUCAGUCGUAUUGCUCGCCCCGAGCAUGGUUUGAGCUUAAGGACAGUGGAGCUGCUGGAGGUGUCGCUCCAGGCGGUGAUAUCUCUUGAUCACAACAUCAACAACGGCUACAUUGUAGAUAAGGUAUCAAUUGGUUCUACUGCUGAGAAGCUUGGCAUUAGAUAUGGAGAUGUGAUUGUUUCUUUUGAUGGGCUGCGUGAUCAAGCGCUACCUCAGUUGGAAGAUUAUCUUCUUUCUCUUGGUUGGGGAUUCUUGCAGGGAAGCACUGAUUCAAGCUCCACUGUAGAUCUCAAGCUCGAAGUUUAUGAUCUCCUUGAACGUGGUACAAGAAGCGUCACCUUGUCUGUUGAAUUCUGUCAUGCUUCAGAAUGA